GGGAAAUAUAACGAGUGUUAUUUUGGGUGCAAACUUCAAAGUGUUAAAUGUGGAGACAUUACACUAGUUUCGAUGUUGAUAGUUCCUUAUUUAGCACUUUGCCCUGAAAUAACAUUUGUGUUGCCAUGAUAAAUAUCCAAUUUUGUGCAGACCAUUUAAUUUUAAAAAUAGCAAUAUUGCCAAUAAUAGCCUAACUGGAUUGUAG